rnacentral:rRNA from 1 species
UACGGGAGGGGCAAGCGUUAUUCGGCAUGACUGGGCGUAAAGGGCCCGUAGACUGUAAAGUAAGUUACUUGUUAAAUUUUAAAGCCUAACUUUAAAUCAGCUUUUAAUACUGCUUUACUAGAGUUUUAUACAGAAGAGUAGAAUUUUAUACGAAAGGGUGAAAUCUAAAGAUAUAUAAAGGAAUACCUGUAGCGAAGGCGACUCUUUAGUAAAAACUGACGUUGAGGGGCGAAAAUGUGGGUAGC